CAGAAUCUCUCAACAAGUCUUUCUUUUAGAAACAUGAAAAUGAAUUUAAUGAAGAAGUGGCCUUGACAGAAAUUUACAAAUACAUCGUAAAAUAUUUUGAUGAGAUUCUAAAUAAACUAGAAAGAGAACGAGGGCUGGAAGAAGCUCAGAAACAACUCUUGCAUGUAAAAGUCUUAUUUGAUGAAAAGAAGAAAUGCAAGUGGAUGUAAGCACUCUGGGGCCUGGCUUAAUCUGGCAAAGUUCUUCAGACGACUUGGGAGCAAAAUGGCUGCUUGAGCUACUCUGUGUCGUUAAUUUCUUGUUUGCACAUAGGUUCCACUUUGGGCACUGUCUUUUUAAGAGACCAAGGCACAUGCACAGCUUUUAGAAAGCAUACCAACCCUUGUGCCUGUGUGUAUACCGUGGGAACCCUUCUGUAAAUAGAGUUGAAGUGGUUGUUGCAAACAGCCUCCUUGUUUACAGAGAAUACAGGGCCAGUAAGCGAAUGUCAGUAUUGUAACUACAGUCUCCACUUAAGCACAAUGAUAUAAGUGGUUUUGUUUGAAAACUACAGCUAUGUAGCACUUGUGCUACACUGCACCUCUGCAUUGUAAAGGGAUACUGCCAGUGCUCAAAACAAAAUGUGAAAUGAGUCAUUUGGAAACAAGGUGGGGGUGUUAGGGCAACCUCGAGGAUUUGCAGCAUUGAAACUUUCCCCAGUAGUUCUUGGAAAAGCUGACCGCAGAAUUUGGUAGUGUACACUUAGCAUUUGUGAGUGUGUGUGUGUGUUUAAACCAAAAACUAACAGUGUUGCAACAUUGUUGAAAGGGCUCGUGUUUUUCAGUGGUCAUCAACUGCACUCCAUCAAACUCACCUCCAUUUCACCAAGGAGCUCUAAAGUAAGGAGAGUGGGCUUUAUUUAAAUGAACAGCAUUUUAACCAGAUACUUUGUCCUAAUGUAUGUUCCUUUUCUUCAUCUAUUUUUUCAUACUAAAUGUAUUUGAUAGUGGACAUGUUGGAUAUUAUACAAAAAAAUCAUUAAUUCAUUUCUGUUCCAAAACCUUUGAUCAGAACGAUCUGUGGAAGAGUAACUCCAUUUCUAUAUGAGUGUCUCCUUGCUUUAGAUUUCUGGUGAACCCUGUGGUUAUGAAUACUUGUGUGUGAUUUAAAAAAAAAAAGAUAGAUACAUUUUACAUUUCAUCGAAUUGCUGUUCACACUGGAGUAUUAUAUAUAAAUAUAUAUAUUUGAGGCCCAAGGCCUGAAAAAUAUUAGUAUACAACUUGGUAUCUUAGUCUUACUAUGUACUUUUUGAAAGUAUUCCUCGCAGGAGAAAGAAUUUAAAAUACCCAUUUUAUUCAUGCCUUUCUUUUUAAAGAAUUCUCUAUCCAGUUAUACUGUAGUCUUUUUAGUGCUGAUUUUUUAUUCCUGAAUUUUUGCUGCUCAUGACCAGUUUUAAUACCACUGUGUUUUCCUUCUAUUAAACCAGAAGUAGUAAACAGCAUAAUUGGCAACUCUUGAGCUUUUCUUGUGGCAGGCACCUUUUACCCUUGGUGCUCCAAAUCCCCCAUCUAGGAAAGAAAAUUUUUUCAAGUCAAAUAACAUUGAUCACAUAUUCCUUGAAAUCAUUUACCAACACUGUAUGGAGCAUUAGGAUUUAAAUAUGAAUUUGUCUUAAAGGCAAUUCCUUUUUGCUUCUGUAUUAUCUGGAAAAGCAUGAGAGAGGUGACACCUCAACAAACUGAUCAGAGAAAAUAAGCAGUUACUACCCUGAUAGGCACCUUCCCAAUCCUGUUGCUUUUGACCAUUGUCUGUCCAACGGACACACCUCAAACAAACAAAACUACCAAAUAGAUGACAGAUCAGAAUAAAGGUGAGAGGUCUGGUCGCCAUUGAAGGCUGCUACAGUCUUCAAAGAGGUGAAGGAGUUCAUAAGAGAACAACAGUAGGAAAGUUGAGAGCCAAGGGUAGGAGAGUUGCCCAAAAGACUUCCCCUACUACUUUAGGGUACUGAAAACUCAAAGGAUCAGCUACAGCUUUAUCUAAGUAUUUACUAAAUGCUACAUGAGGGUGUCCCUGUCCAGCUUUCUGGCACAUGAGUCCUGUGUGGAGAGUUACCUCCUCUUCCAGGGACUGUGCUGUUGGGAACUUUGGGCAAGUCACUUACCUCUUUGUGCCUCAAUUUCUGUAUAAUAUUUCUAAGCUACCUCACUGAGGUGGUAUGAAGAUUCACUAAUGUAUGUAGCGUGUUUGUCAAUCCUCCAGUGAAAAGCACUAUCUAGAUCACAUUUUGGAUCACAUUAGCCAAAUGCAGUAAAUGGCCAAAUUAGAUGUGUGCUGAAGACAAUCAGUCACUGGGUCUAUAUUAAACAGCAACCAGAGCAACAAAUGGCAAACAAUUUCUAUUUUCAAGUUUCUUUGCAUAUUUUUUUGGUGCAAAACCAUUUAUAAACUUUUUUUUCUAACACUAGUGUCUACAGCAGCAUUUAAAAAAAAUUCUGUUACCUUUUCUGUAUUAGGAUUUAAAGUCUAUUUCUUAUUGUAUACCUGAUUGAAGCUGUUCUUGGAGAUGAAUGUUUUAAAUGUCUAUAUCCA
rnacentral:lncRNA from 1 species